rnacentral:rRNA from 1 species
AUGAACGCUAGCUACAGGCUUAACACAUGCAAGUCGAGGGGCAGCAUGGUCUUAGCUUGCUAAGGCCGAUGGCGACCGGCGCACGGGUGAGUAACACGUAUCCAACCUGCCGUCUACUCUUGGACAGCCUUCUGAAAGGAAGAUUAAUACAAGAUGGCAUCAUGAGUCCGCAUGUUCACAUGAUUAAAGGUAUUCCGGUAGACGAUGGGGAUGCGUUCCAUUAGAUAGUAGGCGGGGUAACGGCCCACCUAGUCUUCGAUGGAUAGGGGUUCUGAGAGGAAGGUCCCCCACAUUGGAACUGAGACACGGUCCAAACUCCUACGGGAGGCAGCAGUGAGGAAUAUUGGUCAAUGGGCGAGAGCCUGAACCAGCCAAGUAGCGUGAAGGAUGACUGCCCUAUGGGUUGUAAACUUCUUUUAUAAAGGAAUAAAGUCGGGUAUGCAUACCCGUUUGCAUGUACUUUAUGAAUAAGGAUCGGCUAACUCCGUGCCAGCAGCCGCGGUAAUACGGAGGAUCCGAGCGUUAUCCGGAUUUAUUGGGUUUAAAGGGAGCGUAGAUGGAUGUUUAAGUCAGUUGUGAAAGUUUGCGGCUCAACCGUAAAAUUGCAGUUGAUACUGGAUAUCUUGAGUGCAGUUGAGGCAGGCGGAAUUCGUGGUGUAGCGGUGAAAUGCUUAGAUAUCACGAAGAACUCCGAUUGCGAAGGCAGCCUGCUAAGCUGCAACUGACAUUGAGGCUCGAAAGUGUGGGUAUCAAACAGGAUUAGAUACCCUGGUAGUCCACACAGUAAACGAUGAAUACUCGCUGUUUGCGAUAUACGGCAAGCGGCCAAGCGAAAGCAUUAAGUAUUCCACCUGGGGAGUACGCCGGCAACGGUGAAACUCAAAGGAAUUGACGGGGGCCCGCACAAGCGGAGGAACAUGUGGUUUAAUUCGAUGAUACGCGAGGAACCUUACCCGGGCUUAAAUUGCAGAUGAAUUACGGUGAAAGCCGUAAGCCGCAAGGCAUCUGUGAAGGUGCUGCAUGGUUGUCGUCAGCUCGUGCCGUGAGGUGUCGGCUUAAGUGCCAUAACGAGCGCAACCCUUGUUGUCAGUUACUAACAGGUUCUGCUGAGGACUCUGACAAGACUGCCAUCGUAAGAUGUGAGGAAGGUGGGGAUGACGUCAAAUCAGCACGGCCCUUACGUCCGGGGCUACACACGUGUUACAAUGGGGGGUACAGAGGGCCGCUACCACGCGAGUGGAUGCCAAUCCCCAAAACCUCUCUCAGUUCGGACUGGAGUCUGCAACCCGACUCCACGAAGCUGGAUUCGCUAGUAAUCGCGCAUCAGCCACGGCGCGGUGAAUACGUUCCCGGGCCUUGUACACACCGCCCGUCAAGCCAUGGGAGCCGGGGGUACCUGAAGUGCGUAACCGCGAGGAGCGCCCUAGGGUAAAACUGGUGACUGGGGCU